GUUGGUAGAGGUGCAUGUUUAAUCAGUAGGAUAAUGGAGAUACACAGGUAUUUUUGAUAUUUUCUGAAAGGUAAAUAUGCCGAAGGAAUAUAGUCCUGUGACUUUAGAUCCUGGUUUUUAAGUUAAAAGCUUACUAACUGUCAUCUUGUACACAAGAUGGAGUGCUACCUGU
rnacentral:ncRNA from 1 species